GUCUCUGGGACCUCCUAAAGAUGAUCUUGAGGUCUCUUCCAACCUAGAAAUUCUGUGAUUCUGUGUAAAGUGUCUGUUUUUUGACAAGGGUAAAGGUGUUCCUUCUGUGCUCCACUGCUGCCCUCCCUUUCUUUGGGAAGAGUCUUGCCUCCUCUGUUUCCAACACUUUCUAUUUCUGCUUGGUCUGAAGUGAUCUGUUGGCUUUCUGCUGUUUGCAUGCUUUCUGCUGCUUUUCCUUUGUACUAUUGCCAAGAGCAUGCCCCAAAGGACGCGGGGUGAACAGCAUCAGAAAAUCAUGCCUAACACUUACUAUCAGGGCCAUCAUCGUGGCUGCUGACCAAGUCCAUCUGACCAGGUUUGCUUGGCCACGUUGAGUUCAGAAGCUCAGCAGCUAGUGCAGGUGCUGCUUGUGUUGUCUGGGGCCAGCUAGGACUGUGAGGAUGAGAGGACCCAGUGGACCUUCCUGCCCCAGCUACCUCUCCCUGGCUCCCAGCUGUCCCGCUCUCUGUUUUUCCCACUGAAUGCAAUUAAAGAAAUCCUGGAAAGAGACACAAGAUUGUUUCCCUUGGGGCUGACCCUGAAAGAAAGAGGAGCCGUGUGUGGAUACACAUGGGAUAGGCACAAGGCUGGGAAAGAAGCUCGGUGCGGGCUGAAGGAGGGUGUCUGUCAAUGUCUGCUUGGCAGGCCCGGCAUUUCCUGCUCCCAGGGGGACCUGCUGGGAAAUCGCAUGUGGCCCCAGUCACCACAGCAGCUCAGCGCCUGCCAGAUUUUAAAGGGUAGUAGGGAGAAGACACAGGCCGUACCUCUUCUGCAGGUAAACAGAGGAUGUUUUUCUCCCAAGUUGGCAGCUGUCAGCACCCUUUCAGCAGCAUUCAGGUUGCUUGAAAGAUGAGCAUGAGAAGGGGAAAAAUCACUUUGUUUCCACAUGAUGAUUCCUCCUUUUUUACUAGGUGGACGUCUGUUCUCAGAGGAAAAUCUCUAUUUCUGUUAGUGGAUGCCUUGCUUAAAAUUGCUGACAUAAGUAUGUUGGGAAAAUUCCCUAGUCUUCGUCCACUGAUUGUCUGAGUGAUAUCCCAGGGGCCAGCCUGCUGUGCUGCCGUAGGAAUGAGGAAGGGAAUCCAAAGUUAGACACUAAGCAGCUGUGCAUGGGGGGACCGUGGCUGUCCUUAUCUAUCUAUGGGAACAGUUCUACGCACAGUGUCAAAAAAAAAUUCAAGUAGAUUUAUUGUAUAGGUAAACUGGUAUAAAAUAUCCGGGCUCAGGUAGAGAAAGGGAAGGUUAAAAAGAGAGAGAACAAAGAAGAGAGAGUCUUUCUUUCAGAAGGCCCGCUGGUGUGUUUCUGCUCCCUCCCAGUGAGAGAAGCUUCAGCUCGGUAUAAUUGCCCAGCGCUGUAGUGAGUGUUGGACAGACAUCAAAGGAGAUGUGAGGGGGCUGAGGGGAUCGAGGUCCAGUCAGCCUGCUGGAUGUGGUGUUGCAGUGGAUGGCUGGCCUCACGUUUGGGGCAGCCAGGCAGCCUCAGGAGCGUGCUAGCCUGUGCUCUACCAGUCUGUGGCUAGGGAUGGCGAGUCCCCAGUCCCUGCGGGUCCCAUGGUGAGAAUAUGGCCGAAAGCUUCACACCUCGAGAUUGGUGCUUCUCCUCAGCCUCCAGGUGUGCGGCGUCCAGUGGCUGCCCCUGCCAAAAGCUGUGAGAGGUGUCUGCAGUGUGACAAUGACGUUCACCGAGAAGGAGCAAGAGGGCAUUAAAAGAGAGAGAGGUUAGUGGCAAGAGUCUGUGGCCCACUGUGCAGAAGUUUUACAAAGCGCCGAGACCACUCCUUCUCC
ensembl:lncRNA